GCUGAAUUGCAUCAUCAGCAGAUGCAUGAUCCAAGCCUUGCAGAAGAAGCACAUUCCUUGCUAAGUGAAGAAGGCAUGAGAGCUGGACAUGCCAUGAGACUUGGAUUUGUUGCUGGAGUGAUUAAUAGAGAACGAUUGCCAAGCUUUGAAAGAAUGUUGUGGCGUGCCUGUCGUGGUAAUGUAUUCCUACGGCAAACUGAGAUCGAGACACCCUUGGAAGAUCCAAGCACGGGUGAUCAAGUCAACAAAUCUGUGUUCAUCAUAUUCUUCCAAGGAGAACAACUUAAAUCAAGAGUGAAGAAAAUCUGUGAAGGAUUCCGUGCCACUUUGUAUCCUUGUCCUGAAACUCAAGCAGAACGUCGUGAGAUGGCCAUGGGAGUGAUGACUCGAAUUGAAGAUCUUCAAACGGUGUUGGGUCAAACUCAAGAUCAUCGUCACAGAGUACUUGCAUCCGCUUCCAAGAAUAUCAAAGUAUGGUUUAUCAAAGUUCGCAAAAUAAAAUCUACAUACUUACACAGGGUACUUCAGCUGUGGUCUUUUUGAUAUUCGAUUAAUACAUCCUUUAUAUCCAAAGGUAUUUGAAUAGUAAGUAUCAUCUGUUCUCACGUUUUUCAGGAACGAAGUGGUUCUAGUGUACCUUCCAUCUUGAAUCGUAUGGUAACCAAAAUGAUACCCCCAACGUACAACCGUGUCAACAAAUUCACCUCAGGGUAUCAGGCUAUUAUUGAUGCAUAUGGUGUUGCCGAUUACAGAGAAGUCAACCCUACUCCCUACACCAUCAUUACAUUUCCUUUUCUGUUUGCUGUGAUGUUUGGUGAUGCUGGUCAUGCUUUUAUUAUGGCAAUAUUUGGUAUAUGGAUGGUGGUCAAUGAAAAGAAACUGGCUGAACCAGCAAAAGAAAGUGAGAUGUGGGGUCCUGUCUACCAUGGUCGCUAUAUUGUAAUGUUAAUGGGUAUGUUUGCUUGCUACACUGGUAUAAUAUACAAUGAUGUGUAUUCCAAGUCUAUUAACAUAUUUGGAUCAUCAUUUAUAUGUCAUAAAGCUAACUAUACGAACUCAACAAUAAAGAAUAAUGAACAUUUGCAAUUAGAUCCAGUAGAUACCUACACAGGCUCACCAUAUCCCUUUGGUUUUGACCCGAUAUGGAGACAAGCUCUCAAUGAGCUGACGUUCACCAACUCCUUCAAAAUGAAAAUGUCUGUUAUAUUAGGUGUAUUUCAAAUGUUGUUUGGAGUUAUGCUAAGUUGUGUAAACCAUAGGUAUUUUAAGAAUCCUCUGAAUAUCUUCUGUGAGUUCAUCCCAAAAGUGCUCUUCUUGGUGUGUAUGUUUGGAUACCUUGUCUUCAUGAUAUUUGUCAAAUGGUUUAAAUAUGAUGCCUCUACAUCGUCUACUGCACCCAGUUUGCUCAUUACGAUCAUCGAUAUGUUCUUGCUGAAAGGCGUGGAUGAAGAACAUUCAAUGUUCCCGGGACAGAAUGAAUUACAAACUUUCUUAGUGUUGGUGGUUGUCCUCUGUGUGCCAUGGAUGCUGUUCAUCAAACCAGUUUACUUGUAUGUACAAAAUAAUAAACGUGUAAAGAUGGGUCUCAAACUUGGCAAUGUACGCAUGAUAGUAAAUGGUGGCGGGCAUGAUGACACCGCUGAAGUGUUACCUAAUGAGGUCCUUGCCUCUGGAGAUUCUGAUAGCCUGAGUGAAGAAGAGACUGAAAAGGUCAAGAAGUUUGAUUUCACUGAAAUAUUCAUUCAUCAGUGUAUCCACACCAUAGAAUACUGUCUUGGUUGUAUCUCAAACACUGCUUCAUAUCUACGGUUGUGGGCUUUAAGUCUUGCCCAUGCUGAAUUAUCAUUGGUUUUGUGGGAGAUGGUGUUGCGUAUUGGUCUACAAGUUGAGGGAUAUGUAGGUGCUUUAGUGUUGUGGUUUGUGUUUGCAUGCUGGGCUGUGCUGACUGUUGCUAUAUUGCUGUUGAUGGAAGGUCUUUCUGCUUUCCUGCAUGCCCUGCGUUUACAUUGGGUUGAAUUCCAGAAUAAAUUCUAUGUUGGUAAUGGAUAUCUUUUCAUGCCAUUUUCUUUUACAACUAUCUUGGAUGUGAAAGAAGAAUAAAUAUUAAUAUUCUAAAACAGUGGCAGCGGCAUAGGAGUGUCGCCCCCUCGAAAAUCAAACUGAAACCUCUUGUGUCUGGAAAACUUGUCCCUCAAAAUGCAGGAAAUGCAUUUCAGAGAGUCUAGAUUCCAACAUUUUUAAGGGGAAGUAUGCCCCUGGACCCCCCUAGUAAGCUUGCACCUUUGGGGUGAGUGGUGAUGAGCAGAUCUCGCCCCUCCAUGCAAUUUCGUGCCACUGCCUCUGUAAAAUAAAGUAGUAGAUAAUUGUAUAGGUGUGGGUACAGUACUAUUAUUACUUCUUAUAGUGUAUAUUCAAACAUAGAUCUACUGUCACUGUUACUGUCACUGGAUAUUAAACUGAAAUAAUUACUGUAAUGAAAAUAAUGUGAGGAUACUAGUCAGGGCUUCUGUAUUCUGAAGGGCUCUCUAUUCCAAGACAAUUUUAAAUUUAGUUUGACAACAUGUGCUUAUGUAAGGUGUUAAUAUCAUUGAGAAGUAAAUACACGUACAAUGCAUUUUGAAAGGCAGUUAAUUAGGACAUACAAAGCAAUGGUCAUUGGGAAUUUUGGGUCCUGUAGUCAUUACUGUAUAUGUGCAUGCAGUGUUUCAUUGUUAUGUAUGUUGUAAUUUUUAUAUUAGUCAAUGGCAGUAGUUUAAAUGUUGUAUGGUACAUAUCGCUGCAUUAAAGUGCAGUACUACAAGCAUCCCACCACAUUUUGUUGCAUAUGGGUCACAUAUAAGUAUCUAAUAUUUUACAUACAUUAUUGGGAAAUGACUGUAUUUAUCAAUUUACUAUGUACAUUGAAUAACUCAUAACAUAUAUACAUGUAACAGGAUUAAUGUAACCAUUCAACCACAAAGUACUGAUUUCAAUGCAAGACUACAUAUGGAUUCAAAUUCACCGCAUGAAAAUGACAGCACAUAUAUGUACACAAUAAUAUUUAUUUUUAUUGUCCUAAUGUAUAGAUGUAUACAUUACAAUUUACAUCUCUUUUGUAAACCCCCCCCCCCCGAAAUUCAUGACAUUAUGUAAAAUAUGCUGAACUAUUUUGAUGAUGUAAUCACAUACUAGCUAUUUAAUUUUCUUCUACUUUUUUGAUUCCCAAAUGGUAUGAAUUGUCUGCCAAGUCUGUUUACUUUGGACAUGAAUUGUUGCGGACAACUAGUUUAUUUGUAAGUUAAUAUAUCACAACUGAUUGUGAACAAUUUGUGUUAUUGAAAAAUUAUAUUUAAAAUGUGUAUAUUAUUGUAAUCUUGUACAGUACAUUGGUGAUACUCACAACAGGUUUAUAAUAAUAAUAAUAAUAAGUUUAUUGACAUUAUUCAUUUUGAAUAGAACAUAGUCAAAUACUAUUCUAAGAUAGGGAAUUUGUUUCACCUGUAUAGUUAGUUCAUUGUCUUUCUAACUAGAAUGUUAUUUAACUGCUACUUCAAGAUUAUUAUACCAGAACUGUGGUGAUUUUAUCUUCAAAUUAAUGUGCCACAAGUUAAGACAUUGUUGAAGCUAACUUCACUAAAAUGGCAUGCAGCUUUUCCAGGGUGUUUUAUAGUAGUUUCACUAUGUCAUGUAUUAUAGUUUCUGUGCACUCAAAUGCACCAGACGGAUAUUUAGGGGUCUCUGUGAAGGUGUUAGUGAUUGGAAAAUGUGUGAGGGUUUGUUUUCCCUGUGAAUUAUUGUCAAUCAUCUGACAUGUGCAAUGUUAAGUUUCUAAUGUAAUAAAUAUUAAAGUGGCAAUGGCUGUAACUGUCUACAU